UGUUAACUUUUUCACCUUCCCAAUGCAAUUUCUUGGAACAGAUUUCUGAAAAAGCAAUUGUCUAACAUGUCUAAUCAUAAUGCACCAUAGCUCCCAAUGUUUCAUAAUGAAUGUUGCCUCUUACUUCUAACCUCUCUCAUUUCUCUCAUCUUUUUCCAUCAAAUUGUUCGCCUCUCUCUUCUCUCAAACUCAUCUUUCUAUUGCAUCUCUAACAUUCAUCUCUUUUAUUUCUUCUUCAUUUUCUCUCAUUCUCAUUUAUUUAUAUGUCAUCUCUUUAUGUUCAUCAAUCUUUUACAUAGUUAUUUUUUUCAUUUUUUUUCAGGUUAUAGAUCUAUAUACCAAGACGCAAACUGACUUUAAACCAUAUAAAAAGUGUUGUAGAUUUACAUAUAAGAUGGAAAAAGUUAAAUAACAUUGAUAAAAGAAAAGAAUUGAGGUUGAAUGAAUAAACUUUUGUUUGAAUAAUGGAUGAGGGUAGUGAAGAAAUCUGAGUUUUCGUUUGAAUGGUGGAUCUUGGAAAAGAAUGAUGAUGGAAGUUUUGCGUUUGAAGGGACAAAUCAAAUUUCUUUAUUUUUCAAAGAGUUAGGUUGAACGACGGAUGAAUAGAUGAAAAAAAAUAAGGGUUUUGUGUUAGAAAUCUGGGUUUGGUAUGAAUAAAUGAGAGUGUUGUAGAUGAAAUCUGGGAGUAGAGGGAUACAGAAUUUCAAGAAAUAAGUAACAUGUUGUUUUGGUAUCUGAUAAGAGAUAAGAAAAUCUUGUGGAAGCAAUAAUGCUAAGACACGUGGGUGGGAAGAAAGAGAACAUGUGGUGAUAAAAAAAAAGAAAUAAUAAUCAAGAAGAUUUCUUUUGAGAUAGAAAAAAGAAUGAGAUAG